GCUGCCCCUAAAGAAUUCCUUUUCUUCUGCUGACCCUGGCACAAAGACAGUCAUAUGUCCAAGAGUGAAAACACAUAUAUUCAACCCUCCUUGGGUCUGCUUUUACAGACCAGCUAUGAGAGAUGAUCUUUGAAGAUUUUGCUGUGGUCACAGUUAUACAGAAAAUCUCACCUUGACAUGAUCCUGGGAAAAUUUGCUUCAGUAACUUCCAGCAACAGGAAGACACAGAAACUCAAAG